UACGGGGGGAGCAAGCGUUGUUCGGAUUUACUGGGCGUAAAGGGCGCGUAGGCGGCCACUGCAAGUCAGUUGUGAAAUCUCCGGGCUUAACCCGGAAAGGUCAACUGAUACUGCAGGGCUAGAGUGCAGAAGGGGCAACUGGAAUUCCUGGUGUAGCGGUGAAAUGCGCAGAUAUCAGGAGGAACACCGGUGGCGAAGGCGGGUCUCUGGGCCGUAACUGACGCUGAGGAGCGAAAGCGUGGGGAGCGAACAGG
rnacentral:rRNA from 1 species